rnacentral:rRNA from 1 species
AUGUGGCGUCAUCAAGGAAUCCAAAUACCUGAGCAAGCAGCCUCCGAACUAGCAACACUCGAAUCUAAUGAUAGUCAAUCAGACAUCAUUAGAGCAGCAGCAAAGGAAGCUAGGCGGAAAAGGAAAGAGAUCCUCCAGCUGAAAAAGACAAGCAAACGACUAAGGACAGAAAAGGGCAAUAACUGUGAAGUAUCUAAUGUAGCGAAGGAUGUUACUCAAGUUUCAUAUCUGGGAAAACCAAAUUGUGUUUGUGAAUUUUGCAAUGCCAUUAUGUGGCAUGGAGAGAGAAGCACAAGCACAGGUAACAUCACAGUUCCAAAAUUUGGUCUCUGCUGCAAGGAAGGGAAAGUUAAAUUACCACCACUGAAACAAGCUCCGCUGUAUCUCCGACAGCUACUACGUUACAAUGAAAGAGGAGAAUCAUCAAAUUUCCGCCAGAACAUCAGGUUGUACAACUCGAUGUUCGCAUUCACUUCAAUGGGAGGAAAGGUUGACUAUGAAAUUAAUAAGCAGGCAUCUGGACCGUAUGUUUUCCGUUUGAAUGGCCAGAAUUACCAUCAGAUUGGCACUUUACUUCCUAAAGAUGACGUGACGAAACCAAAAUUUGCCCAAUUGUACAUACAUGACACAGAAAAUGAAGUGCGGAAUAGGAUUAAUGCAUCAGCUUCAACGGAGAGUAAGACACAACCAGAUGAAAACAUUGUCAAAGGACUACUGGAGAUGCUUGAUGAGCACAAUGUUUUAGUCAAAUCAUUUCGUAUGGCAAGGGACAGAUUCCAAAACCGACGUAUUAAAGAUGUAAGACUAAGAUUGAUCAACAAAAGGUCGAAAGAUGGACGGCAAUACAACCUACCAUCUGCCUCAGAAGUCGCAGCACUAAUUAUUGGGGAACAAGAUGGAGAAAAUAAUGAAUUUGAUAUAAUAGUUGAGACCAAAGACAGAAUGUUACAGAGGAUUUCAGAGUUGCACCCAAGCUAUAUGUCAAUGCAGUACCCCUUGCUUUUUCCAUAUGGAGAAGAUGGUUUCAGACCAGAAAUAGAGUAUGAAAAUAAAAGAGGCAGCAAAGGUAAAAGAAAGUAUGUAACAAUGCUGGAGUUUUAUGCGUAUCGCAUACAACAACGUCUGAACCAAGCUUCAACAUUGCAAAUGAGUGGACGUUUGUUCCUGCAGUUCUUAGUUGAUGCAGCAACGUGCAUUGAACAGUGGAGACUAAAUUGGUACAGGACAAACCAAGGUAAGUUGAGGACAGAACUGUACAGAGGACUGCAUGAUGCAAUAGAAAAUGGAGAUACACGAACCGAACAAGUUGGACAAAGAAUCAUACUACCCUCAUCAUAUAAUGGCAGUCCAAGAAAUAAGCAGCAAAACUACCAAGAUGCCAUGGCGAUUUGUCGUUGGGCUGGCUAUCCUGAUCUCUUCAUUACUUUUACAUGCAAUCCAAAAUGGCCGGAAAUACAAGAUAUGUUGGAUCUGAUUCCAGGCCAGAAACCUGAAGAUCAUCCAGAUAUUGUUGCCAGAGUAUUCAUGUUCAAACUGAAGGAACUUAUGAAUGACAUAAAGAACGGGAAGUGA